UACAAAUAGAAAAAAAUAACAUCAUUUGACAUUAAGUGAAGAAAAUAGAAAAACUAAUGAAAACUAUUGAAAUAUAACAACCUUCUUGAAGUGGACUCAAUUUCGGGCCAUACCGAAAUGUAUGGGAUCCCAAAUCUCCUCUUUUAUAACCCCUAUAAUCCUAAAAAAUAUUGGGGUUGAAUAUCCUUUAAUAUCGUUACCAUUCGACGAUUUCGAAAGAAAAUUAGAUCUCUCAAAAAAUCUUCAAAUCUUGUUUAUUCAAGUAAUUUCUCUCUCUAAAGUUCGCUAAAUUUGUUUUUGGGGCAAGAAUGGCCCCCCCAAACAGUUAUCCCCUCUUUUAAGGGGAUAAAAUGUCAUUCUUUGCCUCUACCCGAAAAACAAUUUCUGCCACAACCCUGCGUGCCGCCUAGGGGGUCUAGUUCUACCUUAUUAAUCGCCUAAUCGGCCGCCCGACCACCUAGGUGGGCGCCUAGUUCUGGUGCCUAAUUAGUUCUACCGUAACGGCUAGGCAUUUUUCUAAAAUAGCCGCCUAAGCAGCCAGAUGGCUGACUUUUUGAACAUUUGUUCUACCAAAGAGCGAUGGUAAUACUUAUUUAUUCUCAAUAUUUUCUUUUUACUGUAUUCUUCAUUUUCAUGAUGUUUCUUUUGUUUUAUAAGAAUCAUGCAAAGGGACAUUUUCUUUGUUUUAUCAUGUUUCUCUUGUUUUAUAAGAAUUAUGCAAAGGAACACUUGGGCCCAGCUAACGCUACGAGGCUCUCGAUAAUUCUGAAUUUUUUUGUUUUCACGAAGGAGAUCCUCAAUGCCGCAGCAGAUGCCUUUGAAUUGCCCAAUGAGGUGAUCGAGGAAGGCAAAUCGUUGAUUGAGGCUUUGCCCAGAGAUGAGUUAUAUGAAAGCGAUCGCGUUAUGCGUGACCUUGAACAUCAAAUCCUUAUCACCAUCCUCGCGAAGUUUGGGAUACUUGUUUAAAUUAGCUUUGCUUUGAAGAGGAGCGUGUCGUGAUAGUAAUUGGAGAGGCUUCCUCUUCGAACCCCAUUGCAGAAGUGGUUGGCGAGGCUUCCUCUUAA